GACGAACGCUGGCGGCGUGCCUAAUACAUGCAAGUCGAACGCAGUGGGGACGGGUGAGUAACACGUGGGUAACCUCGCGUCAGAGAGGAUAACACUUGGAAACAGGUGCUAAACCGAUACUGAUGGAUGGACCCGCUGUGCAUUAGCUAGUUGGUGAGGUAACGGCUCAACAAGGCCACGAUGCAUAGCCGACCUGAGAGGGUGAUCGGCCACACUUGGACUGAGACCCGGCCCCGCCUCCUCCGGGAGGCAGCAGUAGGGAAUCUUCGGCAAUGGACGAAAGUCUGACCGAGCAACGCCGCGUGAGUGAAGAAGGUUUUCGGAUCGUAAAACUCUGUUGUUAGAGAAGCGGUAUCUAACCAGAAAGCCACGGCUAACUACGUGCCAGCAGCCGCGGUAAUAC
rnacentral:rRNA from 1 species